UAAUACAUUAUAUUUCAUGUUAAAGUUUUUUCCAUUUAUCACAAAUUAGAAUAAACACAUGUGUGCAUCCAAAAAUGUGAAGCAAAAGAUGUCAUCUUGUUUUUCGUUGGUCUGCUCUUAUGUUAAAUUGAAAUCCAGUUUUUACAUUCCUUGUUUUGUUUUGUUGUGAUGUGUUAUUUAUGUACCUUUAUAAUUUAAUAAUGUUUUAUUUGAGUAGUUCUCAUUUUCCACCACUGAAAGCACCUUCUUUUGUAGGGUAAUCCAUUUCAUGACAAUUACAAGAUAUUUUUACUUUAGAUAUAAAUAACUGACAAGGCAUUAGAGAUUUUUUAUUGUUUCAAUAUAUAUGGACUGUAUGCCGAUUAUCAGAUAUCAGCUGAAAAAGUAGAUCUGUUUCUGAAUCUCCAAGUUCUAAGGCUCAGUAUAAAUGAAUCUUGUACUGUGUUUAAUAUUUCUCAUUCCGGUAUAGAUUUAUUUUACUUUUAUUGGUGCGAUACAAAUGUUGUAUAUAAUUAAAGUUCUCAUUCCAAAAAAAAACAUUUUCAUAUGUUUAAAUUCAGUUUAAUUGUUAUCUGUUUAAAAUUUAUACAUAUUUAUUAAAAUGACAUCUGUUGUGAUUAUGUGCAAUAUUAUUAAUUUAGAUAUUAAAA
rnacentral:lncRNA from 1 species